GUGAUGUGCGGGAGUGGUGGGCAACCCCUCUCUCACGCUCCAGUGUCCUCAUUGCCUGGAAUACUGGUGUUCCUCAUAUCACCAUGAGCUCAUGAGUGCAUCCUUAAAUAAACACUGAGGAACAGUGGGGAACUUUCCAGGAAUAGAAGAUUUCCCUGAGAACCUGGCACCAGCUACUAAGAAGGCAGUUUCAGAGUAUUGUUUCAGAUCCACCUUGGAAGAAAGAUGUGAUGAUGAUAAUCUCGGCCCAUUGUUACAAGAUAGAUGAAAAACAAAGGAAUAACUGCUCAGAGCUUCUAGAAAGUUUACUACAUGUGUGGCUGAUUCUAGCCCACGUUGUAUUUCCAGUUGUGCUGAUCUACACCAGUAUCAGAAAAGGUGAUUACUGA
rnacentral:lncRNA from 1 species